CUUUUUGAUGUCGUCAAUCUUGGGGUUGAAAC
rnacentral:scRNA from 1 species